rnacentral:lncRNA from 1 species
GAAAUAAAGCACGUAAGAAGGUUUGCAGUAAUGUAAAUAGCAAUAAUGAAAUGCAAACCAGAGAUCACGCCAAUUUUAAAGUGGUUCGGUCAAAUGACCUACAUCCACUUGCGAGGCCCUCUUCGAUGAGGCUCCCACCUUCCACUAGCAAAUCUCUUGAAAGGGAAGGGCAAAUACCCCUUUUACAACUUUUUACAAGCGGUUCACUCUCUUACAGAUUUUCAGCAAGAAAGAAGGAAGUGAACACUAGUAAAUUGAAAACAAGACUUUCUAAGACUUUUCUAAGACCUUUCUCUCAAUCAAUUGCUUCUCAAAAAGUUGUAAUCUCAGCUGAGAUUUGAGGGGUAUUUAUAGGCCUCAAGAGGAUUCAAAUUUGGGCUCCAAAAUUUGAAUUCUCUUUGGUUCCCGAUACUGGCGGUGCCACCACCUGUCAGUGUCUGACACUUGUUAGGAUCGGAGCGGCACUAAGAGGGGGGCGUGAAUUAGUGCAGUAGAUUAAAAUGUCGGUUUUGACAAAUCUUUCAUACGAUAAAAAUCGAACUCGGAAGUGCUUAACUUGAAAGAGUAUUCAUAAAGUUGUGCAGCAAAGGUAAUGAGGAAAUAAAGCACGUAAGUAGGUUUGCAGUAAUGUAAAUAGCAAUAAUGAAAUGCAAACCAGAGAUCACACCGAUUUUAAAGUGGUUCGGUCAAAUGACCUACAUCCACUUGCGAGGCCCUCUUCGAUGAGGCUCCCACCUUCCACUAGCAAAUCUCUUGAAAGGGAAGGGCAAAUACCCCUCUUACAACUUUUUACAAGCG